GUUCACACUUGGUUAUCUCAUGGUUAAACCGUUUGGUUUUCGACCACUACGACCCGGGUUCGAUUCCCGCAUUGGACA